rnacentral:lncRNA from 1 species
AUGACAGGUGCAGCUGGUGGCUGUGUGGCUGCCUGCCGUGGCUGGGUGGCAAGGAGCCACGACAACGGCCUGACCAGCCUCGGAGCUCCCAGAAGCAAAGGGCUGCUGCGUGGGGAGCAGAGGACAAGCUCUGCUGGGGCUCGUCCUGCCGGCAGCGGCAGCCCUGGGAGCCAGGUGGAGGGAGCCAGGUGGAAGCCACGGCAGGGAGCCGCCUGUAGGAGAUGGUGGAGUAACAGGGCAAGUAAGGGCCUGUGGGUCUUAGAGAGGAGGCCGAGGGCUGCAGAGGAGAGGCCCAGAGUGGGGGGGUCCCCCCAGGCAGUCGCUCAGGCUUGUGCUGGAGGUGGCCAAGGCCACUUUGGGGAGUGCCUGGGCUCCUGCUUGGGUUGUCAGGGUGCAGGACAUGGGGUGAGGUUGAUGUGGGGUGACAGGUGGGGAUUUGGGGUCAGCAGGCAGAACUCGACCUCAUGGGGAAGGGCAAAGAGCAAGGCCGGGGUCCCCCAGAGGAGUGAGCACAAGCGCCAGGGCCAGCAGGGUCAAGGUCAAGAGCGCAGGGCAGGGGCCGGGCAGGAGGUGGACUGCAGGUGCAGGGAGGAUGGGCACAGGACAGGCAGGGGCCCCUGCUUCCAAGGCGCUUCCAGUGAGAAGAAGCCCCGCCCCCACCGGAUGGGAGGCUGGGGUGCCUCUGCCGCACGUGUGGACGGACGAAGGACGCGGGGGGCCCGGCUCCNNNNNNNNNNNNNNNNNNNNGUGUGGACGGACGAAGGACGCGGGGGCCCGGCUCCUUGCGAGGUCUGUUUGGACAAGGAACCCGGAAGACGGAGGCGGGCGGGUGGGGGUGGGGGGCUGCCGCUAUGGGAUGGAGUCUGGCUCGGAGGAACCGCCAGGGCUGCUUGGAAGCCUGUGGCUCUGUUUCCGCGGCUGGACAGUUUCAGAUGUGCUGAAGUGGCAGCCGUUCAAGGUCCCGACACCCGUGCGCUCAGCCCCGAGGACCCCCAGGCUCUGCAAGAGGCCAUCCAGCUCCGAGACCACAGCUGCCCGGGGAGGCGGGUGGCAGGCUUGCCUGGCAGGUGCAGAUGCCUUCCGGCUCUUUCUCGCAGAAUUACCAGGCUGCAGGCUCCGAGAGGGGCCUUUCCGGGUUCCAUCCAUCAGUACUUCUCCGUUAGGGCUGUUUAA